CCUCGAUACGCCUCUAGAAUUUUACAGUAGGCAGCAGGGGACUUCUUCCUCUUGUUCCCUAGCUUCUUGCCCAACUGUGACAUGCAUUUACAAUACAUUUAGUUUUAUAUCAAGGGCUAUAAUCUACGUGCCAAUUAUAAUAUAGGGAACUUUAAUUGAUUCAACUCCCCCAUUCCCUAAAUCUUUUCUUUUCUUUCUUCUUUUUCUUUUUAAUUAAUUAACUUACCAUUUAUAUGUAUUAGGGACUCCCUUGAAUGAGUACAAGGUCCCUUUUAGCUUGAUCUAGGCUUAAUACCCUAUUAUAGCAUGAAAUCCCCUAUUUUCCACCCGGAUGAACAGUAACCCGAACUGACAGUGGGUUACUUCAUCCCGGUUUUGAUCCACUUUCAGGAUUCCAAAUUUGAUGAAAUUUUUACCUAACAUUCUACGCUCAUAGGGAAUUCCAAAGAGGUAAAAUGCAUUGCUAUCGGAGGUCGUUUGACCCCCUAAAUAAUUCGCCGAAGUUGGGACUUCGACACAAUUUUUCCGUA
rnacentral:lncRNA from 1 species